UUGCAAGAGGGAGCUCAAUCUUGGCCAA
rnacentral:piRNA from 1 species